GGAGCCUCUGCACGGAGCCCAGCGCAGGCCGCAGAGCCGGGGGGCUGCAGGGCGCCGAGACCCCGCGCCGGGGGCGUCCGCACCCGCCGGGACCCAGGUGGAUGUUGCAAGCUAAAGUAUCUCUUCCUUGGCCUUUUUCCCAGUUGAAGAGUUGAAGACCUCUACCCCAGUUCACAGACUUCUCCCGUUGGUGAAAAGCCCUCAAUAGCUGCUGGUCCUUUUCUCCCAAGGAAAGCCAAUACCUGCCCCUUCCCCAAGGGCAAGGUGCCCUCUGCUAUGGAUACCGAAUCGACAUACUCUGGAUAUUCUUACUAUUCAAGUCACUCCAAGAAAUCUCACAGACAGGGAGAGAGAAAUAGAGAGAGACACAAAUCUCCCCGGAGUAAAGAUGGCAACCGUUCAGAAAAAUCUGUCACCAUUCAAGCCCCUCCAGCAGAACCACUGUUGGGGAAUGACUCUA